GCAGCCGUAGCUCAGCUGGAUAGAGCGCUGCCCUCCGAAGGCAGAGGUCGUAGGUUCGAAUCCUACCGGUUGCG
rfam:Magnetospirillum moscoviense strain BB-1 NODE_181_length_1014_cov_169.933_ID_11417, whole genome shotgun sequence.